AAACUUACUUGGACGGGGUCAAUGAGCAAUCUUCGGGUUCAUGGCCUAGGCUAGUGACCUCCAUUGCACUAUGGGAGGGGUGCUGCCCUAAGGUCUCCCUAAAUUGGAAGAACCUACGUCGUAGUAUUUAGGAGCAAAAGAUUAUUGUAUCUUUAU